UUCUCCAUCCUAUCCUUGUAGUAGUGUCCCUCUAGGUGUUCUCCAUCUAGUUGUAUUUUAGAAAAGGGGAGGAGAGUGAGAGUAGAAGAGAGGAGGAGGAGCCAGAUUUGUCGGAAUCUCCUCAGCUUUUGUACCUCUACGGGUCUACUUCAACUCGAGUUUCUUUCAGGCUCGGGGGCUACUCCAUAUGGAGUGCAAGUUCAUUGUGCACCAUAUAAAAAGAAGACUUUCGAGGCUAGAGCACCUCACAGCCUCAUUGCAGUCGGAACUACUUGGAAGACUACUCGAAGCACUCGACGAGAAGCUAGGGAGUACCCAAUGGGAGGCUUAGAAACACUCGAUGGGAUAUUUAGAUCACUCGGAGCACUCGAAGACGCCUUUAGAAGUACUCGACGCCUGCAGGACUCGGCUAUGAAGAGCUCGCGAGUUUGUCAGACCCAGGCAGUGGGACUACUCAGAGGCGUGGAAUAUUCUGGAAUAAGGAAUAGCACAUGGCAUGUACCUUAUCCUGUUGUAACUACUCGUGCAGAAGUAGGACUAGUCGAAUAGAAGUAAACUACCCGAUAGACAUUGGUAAGAACUCUUUGUACAGUAUUUGACUAGGAUUUCCAUGUAACCCUCUCCCCCAAGACUAUAUAAGGGUGGGCAGGAACCCUCUUGAAGCA